CCUACGGGAGGCAGCAGUGGGGAAUAUUGCACAAUGGGGGAAACCCUGAUGCAGCGACGCCGCGUGAGGGAUGAAGGUCUUCGGAUCGUAAACCUCUGUCAGCAGGGAAGAACGGUCACUGGGCUAAUCAGCAGUGAAUUGACGGUACCUGCAAAGGAAGCACCGGCUAACUCCGUGCCAGCAGCCGCGGUAAGACGGAGGGUGCGAGCGUUAAUCGGAAUUACUGGGCGUAAAGCGCUCGUAGGCGGUAUGUCAAGUCAAGGGUGAAAUCCCCGCGCUCAACGUGGUAACUGCCUUUGAAACUUGCACCCUUGCGUGUGUGACAGCCUAGUGUACUUCCUGGUGUA
rnacentral:rRNA from 1 species